UGGCGACCGGCGCACGGGUGAGUAACGCGUAUGCAACUUACCUAUCAGGAGGGGAUAGCCCGGCGAAAGUCGGAUUAAUACCCCAUGAAACAGGGGUCCCGCAUGGGAAUAUUUGUUAAAGAUUCAUCGCUGAUAGAUAGGCAUGCGUUCCAUUAGGCAGUUGGCGGGUAACGGCCCACCAAACCGACGAUGGAUAGGGGUUCUGAGAGGAAGGUCCCCCACAUUGGUACUGAGACACGGACCAA
rnacentral:rRNA from 1 species